GAUGAAGAACGUAGCGAAAUGCGAUACGUAAUGUGAAUUGCAAAUUCAGUGAAUCAUCGAGUCUUUGAACGCACAUUGCGCCCCCUGGUAUUCCGGGGGGCAUGCCUGUCCGAGCGUCAUUGCUGCCCUCAAGCACGGCUUGUGUGUUGGGCCCCGUCCUCCGAUCCCGGGGGACGGGCCCGAAAGGCAGCGGCGGCACCGCGUCCGGUCCUCGAGCGUAUGGGGCUUUGUCACCCGCUCUGUAGGCCCGGCCGGCGCUUGCCGAUCAACCCAAAUUUUUAUCCAGGUUGACCUCGGAUCAGGUAGGGAUACCCGCUGAACUUAAGCAUAUCAACGGAGGA
rnacentral:misc_RNA from 1 species